rnacentral:lncRNA from 1 species
CGGGGUUUUUUAGUUUUUACAUUGUAAAUUGUGCAGCAUAGUUGUGUAUUGAGUCACAAGGGUGCAGUACACAUGGAAAAAGUGAUGAUGUUAGAGAAACCAAAAGUAAUAGUAGGAAGUCCUAGAGAAAACAAGCAGCAAUGGGGCUUAGAGCCUGAGUGUAAUAUCCAGUUAGUAACAGGGACAGGGAUGUCACAAUAGCAGUGAGAAAGAAUGCUGAGAAUGUGAGUCCAGUUGCAUGCAAGUUGGUAGAUUCGAUGGUGGAAGAGAAUUUUUCUUACUUCCGUGAGUUUUUCACUGAGAGUAAAGGUGGUCUGGAGAGAAUGUGGAAUUUGAAAGAAGAACUAAAAUAUCCUUAAGGCAUGAAAGUUUAUCCUUUCACCAGAGACUACAAUUAAUAUUUCAAGGCUGAAUUAGAUCUGCUCACCUAAAAUGGAACAGAAGGCCGCAAGGAAAACAUUGUCAGGAGAAGGGUGAUCUCUGCACAAACUGGCUCCCCUUCGCCUUCCACCAAGAGUGGAAGCAGCCUGAGACACCCAGUCUUCUAACCAGCAGAUCAUGAGCCAAAUAAACCUUUUUUCUUGACAAAUU